UGGGUUUUCUCAGCCUCCAAUGCUUGGUGCUUCUCCUCUAAUUUUGAAUAAAACGCCUUCCGUCUCUCAGCUCGUUCAGAGCAUCUAAAUACUGGAGCCGAUGCAACAGUUGUCCUGGACUUAUUAGUCAGAGCAGAUGCUGCAGUAAUAGAAAUGACCGAACAAGUAUCCUCCUCAUCAGGAUGCUUCUUGUUAUUUGGCUGCAAUGGCUUUCUUGAUACUCCAAGUGGCUGAUUCUGCUUUGUAGCGUUUGGAUGUAGCACAUUGUUUGCAUUAGAUGAUUUAUUCACACCAAAAGGGGCAUCAAGGUCAGAUCCAGUAGGACGAGUUCCAGAUGAAGCACGCUUUUCAGUUGCUAGAGCAAAUGGCUGAGGAACAGUGUGUUUUAUUGGAACAACUCCAGGAGCAGCUUUUGAUGCAGGCUUUCUGCAUGAUUGAGACUUACUAUUAUCCUUUGUCUUUUCUUUUCCUGGUUUGACCUUUUCCUCUUUCAAGCCAGCCUCAAAUUUUGAGCUUACUACAUUUUUCUGCUCCUUACUUUUCUCAUCAUGGGGAACUUCAGUAGUCUCAACUGAGAUUUCAGUUGUACACUCCUUCACUUCAUAUUCCUUUGCUUCAGAGCUCUCCUCUGAACUCUGAACCUCAGGAACCCCAUUGAUAGGCUCAUAGGACUCUAGAACAUCAUGAUGAUUGGGAACAGUUUCAUGAUUUAAAUCAUGGGAAACAUCAUUCGAAUAAACUAUGACACAAUCUGGCUCCUUGUCCAUGCAUAUAUCUGUAACUUCUACUCCCAUUGCAGGAUUAAGGUCCGAUCUGAGAAGAAAUGAAGGGGCAGAGUUUGCGCUGGUAGUUCCUUGGUUUUAUUUGCCUUACCCAGCUGUGCGCGUGUU
rnacentral:misc_RNA from 1 species